UCUUUAUCCUUUCAUUAUAUCAACAUCUAUCGUCUUGGUUUUUCCUCUGUAAGUUUAAUGGAGAUUGAGUCUGUUCAUUGGCUUACUCUCUCACCUCUUUCAUUAUAUCGACCUCCAUCGUCUUCUUCUGCAAUAUCUCCAAAUACGUAAGGAAGAGUAAAAAUCAACACCCUCAAGCAAAUAAUCGAUUUCAAUGGGAUUCACCAAAAGAAGAAGAAGUGUCAACUUAUUUACCAGCAAAAGGUAUUGUAGGGUUGGAAUGCAAAGAAAUUUUUAGUUCAAGCUGGAAAAGAUUCAGGUGUUGUUCUUGCUGCUACUAAGACUAACUAACAGAAGAACCCUCCAAGAGUGGUGCACAGAACUGUCAUGAAGAAGGAAUUCAGUAGAAUGGCCAAGGCUGUUGCCAACUAGGAGCAACUUGUAACCGCCGAGUCUGUUGGGAGGACGUGUUUUGUCGCUCGCGUCUUGAUAGUGGUGGGGCUUUGCAAGAAGAAGUUUUGAUCGCAAGUUUUAUAUCUUUUGCAUCACUAUAAUGUAUUAUUUUCCUAUAUUUUCUCUUGGAAAUGGACAUGUAUUCGUAUUUUUAAAGUUAAUUGAAGUUUAAACUAUGUCGUGUGUGUGGCGUCGUGCGAAGCGUAGUGUGGGCUUCUUCCUGAGGAGGUGGAAAGCCUUAUUUUCCUACUUUCCUCUGCUUUUCAUUUCCGAGGGGAGUCCCUAAUUUUAUCA